rnacentral:rRNA from 1 species
AGAUUGAACGCUGGCGGCAUGCUUUACACAUGCAAGUCGAACGGUAACAGGCCGCAAGGUGCUGACGAGUGGCGAACGGGUGAGUAAUGUAUCGGAACGUGCCCAGUCGUGGGGGAUAACGCAGCGAAAGCUGCGCUAAUACCGCAUACGAUCUAUGGAUGAAAGCGGGGGACCGUAAGGCCUCGCGCGAUUGGAGCGGCCGAUAUCAGAUUAGGUAGUUGGUGGGGUAAAGGCUCACCAAGCCAACGAUCUGUAGCUGGUCUGAGAGGACGACCAGCCACACUGGGACUGAGACACGGCCCAGACUCCUACGGGAGCAGCAGGUGGGGAAUUUUGGACAAGUGGGCGAAAG